UCCUGUCGCUCAGUCAGAAGAGCAUUGUGCUAGCAACAUAAAGGUUGUGGGUUCAAAGCCCAUGCAGGGA